ensembl:lncRNA
AUACACAACUCAACACACACAGGUACACACACACCUCAAUACACACAGGUAUACACAACUCAAUACACACAGGUAGACACACAGGUAUACACACUGGUACACACACACCUCAAUACACACAGGUAGACACACAGGUCUACACACCUCAAUACACACAGGUCUACACACACCUCAAUACACACAGGUCUACACACCUCAAUACACACAGGUAUACACACACUCAAUACACACAGGUAUACACACCUCAAUACACACAGGUAUACACACCUCAAUACACACAGGUAUACACACCUCAAUACACACAGGUAUACACCAAUACACACAGGUAUACACACACAGGUAUACACACCUCAAUACACACAGGUAUACACACCUCAAUACACACAGGUAUACACACACCAAUACACACAGGUAUACACACACAGGUAUACACACCUCAAUACACACAGGUACAGACACCUGCACUCAAUUCAACUACCGGUAGUGAACACGUGAUCAGAAAUAGUGAAGUCAUGACAGUGUUUUCCUUGCUAUUGUAUCAUACCCCACCUCCCUGUGCAGAUAGGCAAAUGUCUUUAUUCUGUACAUAUCAUAGUCACAACUUCCUUCACAACACUGCCCUUAAAUGAUUGCAUUUCGAAAAGAGAUCUACAUGACCAGAGGUUGUUCUACAUGACCAGAGGUUGUUCUACAUGACCAGAGGUUGUUCUACAUGACCAGAGGUUGUUCUACAUGACCAGAGGUUGUUCUACAUGACCAGAGGUUGUUCUACAUGACCAGAGGUUGUUCUACAUGACCAGAGGUUGUUCUACAUGACCAGAGGUUGUUCUACAUGACCAGAGGUUGUUCUAUAUGACCAGAGGUUGUUCUAUUCUGUUCUAUAUAAAGGUGUGUGUUUGAGAUGGAACAAAUCAACCCUCUUGAACUGAAAUAGGAUGGGGCGGGUAAAAUACAACACACCGUACAGUACCUAGACUUACCAAACACACACUACACACAUACACCCCCCCCCCCGUGGGGUCCAAAUAUUAACCGUGAAACAAGGUCUCUGUGUGUGAUAAAUAAUAUGGGCAUGUGACCUGGUUCAUAUCUCCUCUGUCUAGAUCAGACCACCUCGUCUCUCGAUUGAGACGUCUCUCUCUCUCGGUGUGUGUGUCCGAGACGUCUCUCUCACUCUCUCGGUGUGUGUGUCCGAGACGUCUCUCCCUCUCUCGGUGUGUGUGUCCGAGACGUCUCUCCCUCUCUCGGUGUGUGUGUCCGAGACGUCUCUCCCUCUCUCGGUGUGUGUGUCCGAGACGUCUCUCCCUCUCUCUCGGUGUGUGUGUCCGAGACGUCACUCUCUCGGUGUGUGUGUCCGAGACGUCUCUCACUCUCUCGGUGUGUGUGUCCGAGACGUCUCUCCCUCUCUCGGUGUGUGUGUCCGAGACGUCUCUCCCUCUCUCGGUGUGUGUGUCCGAGACGUCUCUCCCUCUCUCGGUGUGUGUGUCCGAGACGUCUCUCCCUCUCUCGGUGUGUGUGUCCGAGACGUCUCUCCCUCUCUCGGUGUGUGUGUCCGAGACGUCACUCCUCUCUCUCGGUGUGUGUCCGAGACGUCACUCUCUCGGUGUGUGUGUCCGAGACGUCACUCUCUCGGUGUGUGUGUCCGAGACGUCACUCUCUCGGUGUGUGUGUCCGAGACGUCACUCUCUCGGUGUGUGUGUCCGAGACGUCACUCUCUCGGUGUGUGUGUCCGAGACGUCACUCUCUCUGUGUGUGUCCGAGAC